AUGUCUUCCUCCGGCGCCUUCUCACCAAGCCUUAACAAUCAUGUCACAGAGAAGCUGUCACGCAUGAACUACGUGCUAUGGCGCACGCAGAUCACACCUCAGCUGUGCGGCGCCGGUGUCUUCGGCUACGUCGACGGCACCAACCCGAAGCCAGCCAAGCUCCUCGUCACCGUCAAGGAGGGGAAGGAGACUUCAUCGCCCAACCCUCUCCACCCUAUAUGGGUACGGGAGGACCAGCAAGUCCUUGGCUACCUGCUGAAUAACCUCACAAAAGAGGUCCUGGUCACGGUGAUCAUGGUC
rnacentral:rRNA from 1 species